GUAAACGAUGUCGACUUGGAGGUUGUGCCCUUGAGGCGUGGCUUCCGGAGCUAACGCGUUAAGUCGACCGCCUGGGAGUACGGCCGCAAGGUUAAAACUCAAAUGAAUUGACGGGGGCCCGCACAAGCGGUGGAGCAUGUGGUUUAAUUCGAUGCAACGCGAAGAACCUUACCUACUCUUGACAUCCACAGAACUUGGCAGAGAUGCCUUGGUGCCUUCGGGAACUGUGAGACAGGUGCUGCAUGGCUGUCGUCAGCUCGUGUUGUGAAAUGUUGGGUUAAGUCCCGCAACGAGCGCAACCCUUAUCCUUUGUUGCCAGCACGUAAUGGUGGGAACUCAAGGGAGACUGCCGGUGACAAACCGGAGGAAGGUGGGGAUGACGUCAAGUCAUCAUGGCCCUUACGAGUAGGGCUACACACGUGCUACAAUGGCAGAUACAAAGUGAAGCGAACUCGCGAGAGCAAGCGGACCACAUAAAGUCUGUCGUAGUCCGGAUUGGAGUCUGCAACUCGACUCCAUGAAGUCGGAAUCGCUAGUAAUCGUAGAUCAGAAUGCUACGG
rnacentral:rRNA from 1 species